GACGAACGCUGGCGGCAUGCCUAACACAUGCAAGUCGAACGGAGAUUAUUUCGGUAAUCUUAGUGGCGAACGGGUGAGUAACGCGUGGGCAACCUGCCCUCUAGAUGGGGACAACAUCCCGAAAGGGGUGCUAAUACCGAAUGUGACAGCAAUCUCGCAUGAGGAUGCUGUGAAAGAUGGCCUCUAUUUAUAAGCUAUCGCUAGAGGAUGGGCCUGCGUCUGAUUAGCUAGUUGGUGGGGUAACGGCCUACCAAGGCGAUGAUCAGUAGCCGGUCUGAGAGGAUGAACGGCCACAUUGGGACUGAGACACGGCCCAGACUCCUACGGGAGGCAGCAGUGGGGAAUCUUCCGCAAUGGGCGAAAGCCUGACGGAGCAAUGCCGCGUGAGUGAUGAAGGAAUUCGUUCCGUAAAGCUCUUUUGUUUAUGACGAAUGUGCAGAUUGUGAACAAUGAUCUGUAAUGACGGUAGUAAACGAAUAAGCCACGGCUAACUACGU
rnacentral:rRNA from 1 species